rnacentral:rRNA from 1 species
UACGAAGGGGGCGAGCGUUGUUCGGAUUUACUGGGCGUAAAGGGCGCGCAGGCGGCCGCAUUUGUCAGGCGUGAAAGCCCCGGGCUUAACCUGGGAACUGCGUUUGAUACGGUGUGGCUAGAGUUCGGGAGAGGAGAGUGGAAUUCCCAGUGUAGAGGUGAAAUUCGUAGAUAUUGGGAAGAACACCGGUGGCGAAGGCGGCUCUCUGGACCGAGACUGACGCUGAGGUGCGAAAGCGUGGGGAGCAAACAGG